rnacentral:tRNA from 1 species
GGUAGAGUGGCUGAGUAAAGCAUUAGACUGUAAAUCUAAGGACAGAGGUUUAAUUCCUCUCUCUAUCA